CAUUGCACAGGCACCUCCACGCGCAGGAUGUGAAGGCCGGGUCGGGCGUGUCCACAAAUUGCAGCAGGUUGAGCUGCUCGCCCCUGAACUCCACCACAAGCGACCAACCAAAGGAGAAGUGUGCCAGCGUGGCAUCGGCAAAAGGCAAGCUUGAAGGACGAGGUUUGGUUCAUUAAGGGUUUAAGGACAAGUGUGAGGCUGUGGUUGAGAAUAACAACACACGGAGUAUAGCAGACGACUGCACUAUACAACUGUUUCCUCUAUGUCUCUCAAGGAGAAGUAUGCGAGCGUUGCAGGCAUGGGCAAAUGACAAGCUAUAUAUACGGAGGAAGCUUUAAUCGCCUCCUGAAGGACAAGUGUGAGGAUGCGGUUGAGAAGAAUGCCAAGCUGGAGUAGCAGAUGACUUUAUUUCCUGUCUGUAUAUCUCAAGCUUGGUGCGCAGCUGCUGGAUGAUGAACGGCAUGCACUUGUCUCAGCUUGGCAUUGGUCGCCGAAACAACCCUUAACCCGCCAGCAGAAGGCUCGUCCUGGGCUGGUUGUCGUUCCGGCCUGGACAUUGAGCUGGCUUGUCUGCAUUACUGAGGUCCUUGUGUGCUUAUAAGCUGGCAGUGGCCCGACGGUUGACUCUGCUGCGACUUGGGAAGUGGUUGUGACUUGAUUUGCUGGCGACAUGUAGGUGCAUGCUGCACGGCUUUGUUGUUGUUUUUCAAGUUGAUAACUUAGCUAGCGAGGAUGGCUGACGAUGUAUGCGAAUGUGAUGCGAGUCAAGUGGCCGUGUUAGAUUUGCUGUCUGUGAUGUCUGAUAGUGAAGCCAGAAAAAGGGCAAAGGUCAUGGCAAAAUUUGCAACUUUAAAAUUAUUGAUUAACAAACUUAAU